rnacentral:rRNA from 1 species
GACGAACGCUGGCGGCGUGCUUAACACAUGCAAGUCGAACGGAAAGGCCCUGCUUUUGUGGGGUGCUCGAGUGGCGAACGGGUGAGUAACACGUGAGUAACCUGCCCUUGACUUUGGGAUAACUUCAGGAAACUGGGGCUAAUACCGGAUAGGAGCUCCUGCUGCAUGGUGGGGGUUGGAAAGUUUCGGCGGUUGGGGAUGGACUCGCGGCUUAUCAGCUUGUUGGUGGGGUCGUGGCUUACCAAGGCUUUGACGGGUAGCCGGCCGUAGGAGGUGACCGGCCGCCAUAGGGCUAAGGAGACGCCCCGAAUCCUACGGGGGGAAGCAGUGGGGGAGAAUUGCCCAUGGGGGGAAGACGGAUGCCGCAACGCCGCCGGGGGGAUGAAGGCCUUCUGGGUGUAAACCGCUUUCGCCCUUGAAGAAGAAGGAAUGACGGUAAUGGGUAAAGAAGCACCGGCUAACUACGUG